rnacentral:lncRNA from 1 species
AAUUUCUACAAGAUUAGAGGAAGAAGAGAGGCAACGGGGAUUCCAUUUCUACUAGGAGUAUCAACCUCUGAGAGGGAUAUAUCCAUCUCUGUGGAUGUCAUCUGCUCUGCAGAAAACCUUUUCUUGGAACUCCCAGAUUUGAUAAAUGGUUGGUCCUCAUGAUCCACUGAUGCAGACUACUUGGGAGGUCCCAAUGUCCUGGUGCCCAAAGGCAAGAUCAUUUUUCCCCCUGCAGUGUUUCUGUCUGUCAUGAUGAUGUGAGUGGGCUCUUAUUGGGGGUGCCUAAUGCUGCAAUAAAGAAAGAGUUUUCUUGGUUUGGUGCAGUGGCUCACGCCUGUAAUCCCAACACUUU